AUUGAACGCUGGCGGCAUGCCUUACACAUGCAAGUCGAACGGUAACGGGCCUUCGGGUGCCGACGAGUGGCGCACGGGUGAGUAAUACAUCGGAACGUGCCCGAUCGUGGGGGAUAACGAGGCGAAAGCUUUGCUAAUACCGCAUACGAUCUACGGAUGAAAGCAGGGGACCGCAAGGCCUUGCGCGGACGGAGCGGCCGAUGGCAGAUUAGGUAGUUGGUGGGAUAAAAGCUUACCAAGCCGACGAUCUGUAGCUGGUCUGAGAGGAUGAUCAGCCACACUGGGACUGAGACACGGCCCAGACUCCUACGGGAGGCAGCGGUGGGGAAUUUUGGACAAUGGGCGCAAGCCUGAUCGAGCCAUGCCGCGUGCAGGAUGAAGGCCUUCGGGUUGUAAACUGCUUUUGUACGGAACGAAAAGCCUUCUUUUAAUACAGGAGGGUCAUGACGGUACCGUAAGAAUAAGCACCGGCUAACUACGU
rnacentral:rRNA from 1 species